AUUGAACGCUGGCGGCAUGCUUUACACAUGCAAGUCGAACGGCAGCGCGGGCUUCGGCCUGGCGGCUAGUGGCGAACGGGUGAGUAAUGCAUCGGAACGUGCCCAGUAGUGGGGGAUAGCCCGGCGAAAGCCGGAUUAAUACCGCAUACGACCUGCGGGUGAAACCUGGGGGCCGAAAGGCCUCGCGCUAUUGUAGCGGCCGAUGUCGGAUUAGCUAGUUGGUUGGGUAAAGGCUUACCAAGGCGACGAUCCGUAGCUGGUCUGAGAGGAGGACCAGCCACACUGGGACUGAGACACGGCCCAGACUCCUACGGGAGGCAGCAGUGGGGAAUGGUGGACAAUGGGGGGAACCCUGAUCCAGCGAGGCCGAGUGCGGGAAGAAGGCGUUGGGGUUGGAAACAGGUUUUGUUCGGGAAGAAAUCCUCUGGGCUAAUACCAAGGGGGGAUGACGGUACCGGAAGAAGAAGCACCGGCUAACUACGUG
rnacentral:rRNA from 1 species